CCCUUAGAUGUUCUGGGCCGCACGCGCGCUACACUGAUGCAUUCAACGAGUCUAAAACCUGCUCUGAUAGGGGUGGGUAAUCUUUUGAAUGUGCAUCGUGAUUGGGAUAGAUGAUUGCAAUUUUUCAUCUUCAACGAGGAAUGCCUAGUAAACGCAAGUCUUCAGCUUGCAUUGAUUACGUCCCUGCCCUUUGUACACACCGCCCGUCGCUCCUACCGAUUGAAUGAUCCGAUGAAUAUCAUGGAUUGAGGAUGCAAGCAGGUUCGCCUGUCUUCAUCUUCGAGAAGUGAAGUAAAUCUUAUCAUUUAGAGGAAGGAGAAGUCGUAACA
rnacentral:rRNA from 1 species